rnacentral:ncRNA from 1 species
CCAUGGUGAGAAUCCAAUGCCCCAAAAACCUAAGGGUUCCUCCAUAAGGUUCAUCCACGGAGGGUGAGUCAGGGCCUAAGAUCAGGCCGAAAGGCAUAGUCGAUGGACAACUUGUAGGUUUAGUAAUCCUUCCCUCUUUCCUUAUAUUAUAAAUGACUAACGGAAUAGUUGAGGAUGUUAUUUUCCUAUUACCUAUUAAAAUAAUGAAGUUGGUUAGUAAAUUGAGCUUGACAAGCAACCUUUCCUCUUGAUCUGAGGUGCGAAGAGAAAGAUUUCUUUUUUAUGACUUCCACUUAUCGAUCCCGACGCAGAAAAGUGACCGACUAGGGCAGGGC